CGGUGCGCUCUUUCUCCCGGUGCGCCUUCUCUCCCUUGUUCUCCUUCUUCCGUGCUCUCUUCCACUCUCCCUCUCCCGCUCGCUCUCUCCCUCCCUCCGUCUCUGUCUCGCACUCUCCUCCCUCCCCAACAUCUUCUCUCCCCAGGCCCUCUCUCUCCACAUUCUCACUCCCUUCCCUUGCUGUGUGUGCGUGCGUGUGUUGUGUGAGUGGGAAACAGAGAAGGAAAACAGAGGAAGAG
rnacentral:lncRNA from 1 species